rnacentral:rRNA from 1 species
GAUGAACGCUGGCGGCGUGCCUAAUACAUGCAAGUCGAGCGAACGGACGAGAAGCUUGCUUCUCUGAUGUUAGCGGCGGACGGGUGAGUAACACGUGGAUAACCUACCUAUAAGACUGGGAUAACUUCGGGAAACCGUAGCUAAUACCGGAUAAUAUUUUGAACCGCAUGGUUCAAAAGUGAAAGACGGUCUUGCUGUCUCUUAUAGAUGGAUCCGCGCUGCAUUAGCUAGUUGGUAAGGUAACGGCUUACCAAGGCAACGAUGCAUAGCCGACCUGAGAGGGUGAUCGGCCACACUGGAACUGAGACACGGUCCAGACUCCUACGGGAGGCAGCAGUAGGGAAUCGUCCGCAAUGGGCGAAAGCCUGACGGAGCAACGCCGCGUGAGUGAUGAAGGUCUUCGGAUCGUAAAACUCUGUUAUUAGGGAAGAACAGAUGUGGAAGUAACUGUGCACAUCGUGACGGUACCUAAUCAGAAAGCCACGGCCAACUACGUG